rnacentral:rRNA from 1 species
UGGGGAAUUUUGGACAAUGGGCGAAAGCCUGAUCCAGCAAUGCCGCGUGUGUGAAGAAGGCCUUCGGGUUGUAAAGCACUUUUGUCCGGAAAGAAAUCCUUGGCUCUAAUACAGUCGGGGGAUGACGGUACCGGAAGAAUAAGCACCGGCUAACUACGUGCCAGCAGCCGCGGUAAUACGUAGGGUGCAAGCGUUAAUCGGAAUUACUGGGCGUAAAGCGUGCGCAGGCGGUUUGCUAAGACCGAUGUGAAAUCCCCGGGCUCAACCUGGGAACUGCAUUGGUGACUGGCAGGCUAGAGUAUGGCAGAGGGGGGUAGAAUUCCACGUGUAGCAGUGAAAUGCGUAGAGAUGUGGAGGAAUACCGAUGGCGAAGGCAGCCCCCUGGGCCAAUACUGACGCUCAUGCACGAAAGCGUGGGGAGCAAACAGGAUUAGAUACCCUGGUAGUCCACGCCCUAAACGAUGUCAACUAGUUGUUGGGAUUCAUUCCUUAGUAACGUAGCUAACGCGUGAAGUUGACCGCCUGGGGAGUACGGUCGCAAGAUUAAAACUUAAAGGAAUUGACGGGGUCAUAGCUG